UAUCAGACGUAGCAUCACCUCCUCUAACACUGAAUCAUGACACCUUCAGCAUCUUUUCCUCCAAUAUCUGUCAAAGAUGCUUCACUCAGACAGAAAAACUCUCCCUGUCCAUUUUUACUGCAUUAGUUCACCUUCUAAGGUUGGUCUGAUGGAGCUGCUUUGACUCAGAGUCACUGAUCUGGAAACUUCUCCAGAGUUUUCCAGCAUCACAGACUCUGGUGACAGAGAUGAUCCAGCAGGAGGUCCAGAACCAGGAGAAACCAGAGUUCUGCUGGAGACCCACAACCAAGAUCAGGUGGCAGUUCACUUUAAGAAGGAACCAGAAGGAACCAAAGUUCUGCUGGAGACCAGAAACCCAGACAGAAAACGGUACCUUGUUGUCGACUGUGGAGAUGAAAAGAUUAACUUCACUGUUCAUGAAGUCCUGGAAGGAGGAGCCUUGAAGAUGCUGGACACUGACUUUAGAUGGUAUCUGGGAGGACGAACUGCGGACAGAAAAUUCAAGGAUUUCCUCUGCAAAAUUUUCUAUGGAGUCUGGAUAGAAUAUGAACAAAAAUUCCCCAGUGAGGUUCAGAAAAUUAUGUUUGAAUUUAACAGUCUCAAACAUUUAGAUGAAGAUGUUCAGAUCAGCUGCCCAGAUACCCUGAGAGAACGAGCUCAGAGAGAGAAAGACAUUGAAACAUUCUUUGCUUCAGUGGAAGGAGCUUCCUGGGAGGAUGGAGUCAUCAAAAUCUCCAGAGACAAACUGAGGUCUUUCUUUAAUCACAGUCUGCAGGACAUC